rnacentral:tRNA from 1 species
AUCUAAAUAGCUUAAAUUAAAGAGUUUGAUAUUGAAGAUAUUAAGGUGAUCUAAUGAUCUUUAGAUA